rnacentral:SRP_RNA from 1 species
UAUGGUCGGACAACGGGGGGUCGUGAACCCCGCCAGAUCCGGAAGGAAGCAACGGUAGCGUAUUUCCUCGUGUGUCCGACCUUCCCU